AAAUGAAGAAAGGGCCUAAACCUGGAUUUUAGUGUGAGCGUCAGACUAGACUGGGUCAAACUUGGUCCUUUAAAAUUUCGGGUCGAUCUGGUCGACCUGACCCGCUUCAUAUUUUCCCCCAAAACGGUCGGGUAAUCCCUAAUCUUGAACUCUCUCAAGUCUCACCCUCAAGAGCUCCACCUGAAACCGUUCGUCGCCACCGCCACCAACACCAACGGCGGUGGCUUUCAAUUUCUAGUUGUGUAUUUGUUAAAUCUAUAUGUGUAUUGUGUGUGUGUGUGUGUGUACUUGACAUGAAUCAAGAAAAGGUGCUUGUUUUUAAUUAAAACUGGUAUUUGCUUGACAUGUAUUUGUGAAUUUGAUCUCUUUCGUAGGUUUCCUGCUGCAAUUUUCUGUAUUGCUUUUCCUUAUUCCAUGACUGUCUUUGAAAAUGUGUGCUUGAUGUCUUUUUGUAUGGCUUCAGAUGGGACUAACCUAGACGAAGCAUUUUGGAAGAUGAUUAGGAAGAAGAGGAGGAGGGGAUUGACCAACUUGAUGGUUUAGAAGAUGAGGCUCAUGAAAAAGGUUAACAUGGCGCCGCCCCUAUUUAUUUCUCUCAUUCCCCCCUCUCUAAACUCUUGGAUAUAAUGGAAAAGAAAUCUUGCUUGUGUUGUUUCUUUCCAGUCUUACUAUUCAUAUUUAGGUGUAACUUCCAACGGGAUUAUUACCAUGGCUGAAGCUCUGCCAGGGAAAGAGAGAGAUUUAGAAGACACAACUGUGACAGAUACAGAUAAAAUUAUUUCUACAGUUCUGGUUUCUGAUUUUCUUCUCUUUUGUGCGAUAUUGAAUGAAAAUUAAUUUUUAUUACAGUUACUUGUUUAAAUGUCUUUUAUCUAGUGGAUCUAUGUUGUGACCCAUGUCUUCUUAACAGAAUGCUUCUUCUUUUUUUCGCUAAAGCCUUUUCCUCAUCUUUUUCUAGCCUUUAUUUUUAGACAAGUUGUCUUUUUCAUUCAUUUAUAAGCAAAUAUCUAGCUUAUGUCUGUUUAGGAUUGGUCCAAGUGGGCA